UGCAGUUGCUGGGCUUGAAUUAGUAGGAAUUCAGGCCAAACGUUUGUUAGGCUAAGUUGAGUGGACAUGCAGCUGAUCCUAACAGUGGGAACUGACAAUUAAUACUAUCUUCAGACCUUCAGACCUUCAGAGUAAAAGAAAAAAGGGAAGAAAUAUGCUAUUCCAUAAGUCCCUUAUUUGUUCUCAUGUAUGCAUAAGGGGAACUUAAGUUUUGUCACCCAUAUCCAACUCUACUCUCAUUGGCUUGCAGCAGUAACUUUUCAUGCAUUCUUUUCUCUGUACCUUACUUUAAUAGGAGAACAAAGGCAUCAUGUUUGAG
rnacentral:misc_RNA from 1 species